GUGAAUCAUCAAAUUUUUGAACGCAAAUUGCACUCUCCUCGGAGAGUAUGCCUGUUUGAGGGUCAGCCUACAAAAAAUCGACAUCGUUGCUGUUUCGCGGUGACGUUCGUCGGAAAUUGGGUCAUCUUAAAUCUUUUGGGUUUAAAGGGCCUAAAAUUUUUUUUUUUGGUCCCUGGAAGGUUUUAAGGAUUUAUUUUUUACCACGUUAAAGUAUAUCGUUUUUUUUUACAUGUGA
rnacentral:misc_RNA from 1 species